UUGAGCCGUAUGAGGUAGGAAACUCUCCAGUACGGUUCUGGGGGAAGAAUUAUUUUUCAAGUUGAUCUAUCCAGAC
rnacentral:ncRNA from 1 species